UUAUUUUUCUUUUAUUAUUUUUAAUUGCUUUUUCUUUUAAAAUUCAUAGUAAUUUCAUUUUUCAUCCAAAAAAUCCCAAAAUAAUUUCUAAAAUUCUCUUUUAUUUUUUUUCAUCUGAUUUUUAUUUUAUCACAUUUUAUUUCACUGGUUUUAUAUUUUUCAUGACUUUUCUCUUUUCUCCUUUGUUUUAAAUGGUUUAAAAUACUUUUCUGCAUUUUUAAAUUCUGAAAAACUUCUUACAUGUUUCUUAUUUUAUUUUCAACCUUUAAUAAUACUCUUGGCCAUUUAUUUGGUGCUUUGAAGGAUUUUAUGGAUUU
rnacentral:lncRNA from 1 species